CUCCAAUAUAACAACACUCAGGAAUCACCUCCCACUACUGCUGGGGCAGGCGGUGGGAACAGAUGUAGAGAGGGCACACAAUGAGCCUCACGUAAGCAUCAGGUACUACAUUUAGGAAGAGAGAUGGUGUGAGGAUGCAGUGGCCAGAAGAGGCAGCCCAGGGAAGAUCUGAGGUGAACCCUCUGGUUGGAAAGCCUUGGCAAAUUGGAGGAAUGAAAAGAAAAAAGAGUAAAUCUACAACAAGGAUCAGCAAACUCCAGUCUACAGGCCAAAUCCAGCCUGCUGCCUGUUUAUGUCAAUAAAGUUUUAUUGGAA
rnacentral:lncRNA from 10 species